UACGGAGGAUGCGAGCGUUAUCCGGAUUUAUUGGGUUUAAAGGGUGCGUAGGCGGAUCGUUAAGUCAGUGGUCAAAUUGAGGGGCUCAACCCCUUCCCGCCAUUGAAACUGGCGAUCUUGAGUGGAAGAGAAGUAUGCGGAAUGCGUGGUGCAGCGGUGAAAUGCAUAGAUAUCACGCAGAACCCCGAUUGCGAAGGCAGCAUGCCGGCUUCCGACUGACGCUGAAGCACGAAAGCGUGGGGAUCGAACAGG
rnacentral:rRNA from 1 species